GCUUAGCCCUAAACACAGAUAUUCUAAUACACCAAUAUCCGCCAGAGAACUACAAGCGAAAAGCUAGAAACUCCAAGGACUUGGCGGUGCUUCAAACCAACCUAGAGGAGCCUGUCCUAUAAUCGAUAUUCCACGUUCUACCUUACCCCCCUUAGCCUUCAGCCUAUAUACCGCCGUCGUCAGCCUACCUUAUGAAAGAAACAAAGUAAGCAAAAUAGUUAAUAACUAAAACGUCAGGUCAAGGUGUAGCACAUGGGCGGGCAGAGAUGGGCUACAUUUUCAAAACGAACACACGGAUAAUAUGUUGAAACACAUAUUUGAAGGUGGAUUUAGUAGUAAAAUAACAAAGAAAACCUUAUUGAAACUUGCUCUGAAGCGCGC
rnacentral:rRNA from 1 species